AGUGAACGCUGGCGGUAGGCCUAACACAUGCAAGUCGAACGGCAGCACAGUAAGAGCUUGCUCUUACGGGUGGUGAGUGGCGGACGGGUGAGGAAUACAUCGGAAUCUACUUUUUCGUGGGGGAUAACGUAGGGAAACUUACGCUAAUACCGCAUACGACCUACGGGUGAAAGCAGGGGAUCUUCGGACCUUGCGCGAUUGAAUGAGCCGAUGUCGGAUUAGCUAGUUGGCGGGGUAAAGGCCCACCAAGGCGACGAUCCGUAGCUGGUCUGAGAGGAUGAUAAGCCACACUGGAACUGAGACACGGUCAAGACUCCCACGGGAGGCAGCAGUGGGGAAUAUUGGACAAUGGGGGCAAGCCUGAUCCAGCCAUACCGCGUGGGUGAAGAAGGCCUUCGGGUUGGAAAGCCCUUUUGUUGGGAAAGAAAAGCAGCAGGUUAAUACCCCGCUGUUCUGACGGUACCCAAAGAAUAAGCACCGGCUAACUUCAUG
rnacentral:rRNA from 1 species